rnacentral:rRNA from 1 species
ACUCAAAUGAAUUGACGGGGGCCCGCACAAGCGGUGGAGCAUGUGGUUCAAUUCGAAGCAACGCGCAGAACCUUACCAGCUCUUGACAUGGGACGUUUGGGCACCGGAGACGGUGUUCUUCAGUUCGGCUGGCGUCCACACAGGUGCUGCAUGGCUGUCGUCAGCUCGUGUCGUGAGAUGUUGGGUUAAGUCCCGCAACGAGCGCAACCCUCAUCUUCAGUUGCCAUCAGGUCAAGCUGGGCACUCUGAAGAAACCGCCGGUGACAAGCCGGAGGAAGGCGGGGAUGACGUCAAGUCCUCAUGGCCCUUAUGGGCUGGGCUACACACGUGCUACAAUGGUGGUGACAGUGGGACGCAAGGGGGCGACCCUGAGCAAAUCUCAAAAAGCCAUCUCAGUUCGGAUUGCACUCUGCAACUCGAGUGCAUGAAGGUGGAAUCGCUAGUAAUCGCGGAUCAGCACGCCGCGGUGAAUACGUUCCCGGGCCUUGUACACACCGCCCGU